rnacentral:rRNA from 1 species
AUUGAACGCUGGCGGCAUGCUUUACACAUGCGAGUCGAACGGCAGCGCGGGCUUCGGCCUUGUGGCGUGUGGCGAACGGGCGAGUAAUGCACCGGAACGUGCCCAGUAGUUGGGGAUAGCCUGGCUAAAGCCGGACUUAUACCGCAUCGGACCUGAGUUUGAACGCGGGGGACCGAAAGUCCUCGCGCUACUGGCGCUGCCCAUGUCGGAUUAGCUAGUUGGUGAGGUAAAGGCUUACCAAGGCGACGAUCCGUAGCCGGUCUGAGAGGACGACCUGCCACACUGGGACUGAGACACGGCCCAGACUCCUACGGGAGGCAGCAGUAGGGAAUUUUGCGCAAUGGGCGCAACCCUGAUCCAGCAAUGCCGCGUGAGUGAUGAAGGCCUUCGGGUUGUAAACCGCUGUUAUUCGGGAAGAACAUCUCUGGACUUAUCCCCGCGCGUCUUGACGGUACCGGAUGAGUAAGCCCCGGCUAACUACGUG